UUUUGUGGGGUGCUCGAGUGGCGAACGGGUGAGUAACACGUGAGUAACCCGCCCUUGACUUUGGGAUAACUUCAGGAAACUGGGGCUAAUACCGGAUAGGAGCUCCUGCUGCAUGGUGGGGGUUGGAAAGUUUCGGCGGUUGGGGAUGGACUCGCGGCUUAUCAGCUUGUUGGUGGGGUAGUGGCUUACCAAGGCUUUGACGGGUAGCCGGCCUGAGAGGGUGACCGGCCACAUUGGGACUGAGAUACGGCCCAG
rnacentral:rRNA from 1 species